rnacentral:rRNA from 1 species
AAUAUUGGACAAUGGGGGCAACCCUGAUCCAGCCAUGCCGCGUGUGUGAAGAAGGUCUUCGGUUUGUAAAGCACUUUAAGUUGGGAGGAAGGGCUUUAGUCUAAUACCCCCAUGUUUUGACGUUACCAACAGAAUAAGCACCGGCUAACUCUGUGCCAGCAGCCUCGGUACUACAGAGGGUGCAAGCUUUAAUCGGAAUUACUGGGCGUAAAGCGCGCGUAGGUGGUUCAGUAAGAUGGGUGUGAAAUCACCGGGCUUAACCUGGGAACUGCUUUCAUAACUGCUGAGCUAGAGUACGGUAGAGGGUAGUGGAAUUUCCUGUGUAGCGGUGAAAUGCGUAGAUAUAGGAAGGAACGCCAGUGGCGAAGGCGACUACCUGGACUGAUACUGACACUGAGGUGCGAAAGCGUGGGGAGCAAAC